GUAGUCAUAUGCUUGUCUCAAAGAUUAAGCCAUGCAUGUCUAAGUAUAAGCAAUUAUACUGUGAAACUGCGAAUGGCUCAUUAAAUCAGUUAUCGUUUAUUUGAUAGUACCUUACUACAUGGAUACCUGUGGUAAUUCUAGAGCUAAUACAUGCUAAAAACCCCGACUUCAGGAAGGGGUGUAUUUAUUAGAUAAAAAACCAACGCCCUUCGGGGCUCCUUGGUGAAUCAUAAUAACUUAACGAAUCGCAUGGCCUUGCGCCGGCGAUGGUUCAUUCAAAUUUCUGCCCUAUCAACUUUCGAUGGUAGGAUAGUGGCCUACCAUGGUGGCAACGGGUAACGGGGAAUUAGGGUUCGAUUCCGGAGAGGGAGCCUGAGAAACGGCUACCACAUCCAAGGAAGGCAGCAGGCGCGCAAAUUACCCAAUCCCGAUACGGGGAGGUAGUGACAAUAAAUACUGAUACGGGGCUCUUUUGGGUCUCGUAAUUGGAAUGAGAACAAUUUAAAUCCCUUAACGAGGA
rnacentral:rRNA from 1 species